CUGCCCUAGCCCUAGCUAAAUCGUACAAUGAAUGGUUUAUUCUAUAUGAUUAGUAUUCUGUCAAUUUCUCUCGCACCACCCGUAUCAGGAAACAUUUGCCUUGGAACCCCUGUGGAAUGUAAAAACAUUUCAACCGGAGAUGGAUAUUAUAAAUACCCCUGGUCUCUGCCUCCGGGUAAAGUGUGUAAAGAUCUUGAAGUCUACGCCGACAAUCAUAUGAUACUAAUGGCCAAACAUCCUAACGCAACACUCCCUAAACUAACACAGUGUCGAAACCUGACUGUGAGAUGCAUCUACGAAAUGAAUGGCACUGCAGAUGUGGAUGAGAUCUGCAGGAAAUUUGUCACCGAUUCAGAUGCUUCCUCUUUAUCAGACCCAGGAAGACCUAAACAACAGUUAAACAACACAAGUGAACCGACUGACAUGGACUCAGUGAAAAAUAAACCAUCACCCACGGAUCAACGUAGCCAGCCAGCUGCGUUUUGGAUUACUGUUGUUGGGCCGGUGGCGGUGGUGGUGGCGGUCGUGUUGGCGGUGGCGGGCGCAGCGUGGUGGUGUCUACGAAAAAAGAAACCGAUGCCAACCCAGAACCAAGGACUGGAGUUAACUGAAAUGAACCGACCCGACGAUGGUGAUCAGACACCAUCAGGACAUGGGGAAACGACUGAAGACGGGGCUCUCCCUGAGAAGUCCGCUGAGAACCUGAAGAACAAUCACUGCUAACUGGAACUGAUGAACCUGUUACUGGGGACGGAACCGUCACCCUGACAAAUGAUGGGUCCCCUUUGGAUGGACCAAGACACCGUUGUCUCACUUCUGGCUGUUUGGACAGAUCUGUCUGACGGAAAACCUGCUGGAAUGGAAAUUGUAAAGAUUGAGGGCGAGGUAUAGCCUGGGUAUACCCAUGCUGCCAUGCGCGAGAUUUCAUUUUGCCCUGCUAGGCAGCCUGGAUUCCAUGGAUCCGAUUUUCGCUUCAGGGAGGGAACCAGGGCGAGGGGACAGCUAGACGAUGACGACGUCUUUGCCACACUCCAAAGCUUGUACUUUGUUUAUAUCUAUGGAUCCAACAUGGUUGCAGAUGCAAAGUUGCCUUUCGAUGCAGUCUUAGAUAGUGUUCUAAGUAGUUAAGAACGCAAGAUGGUUUAAUUGAUACGAUGGUUUAAUUGAUACGAUUGGCUAUGAGCUACGUACAAAUGCAUUUGAUAGACAUUCGUAAACACUCUGGGCAUUCGUAAACCACGCCUUAAAUACGAGAAAAUUAAUGUGGUUCCCAGACCAAAUCUCAAUGUAGAUUGAGGUGAGGUCUGGCGUUAGCCACGAUUGUUGAAGUAUGCAAUUAUAUGAAAAUAGUACAAUGGUAUAGGAGAGACUUAUAUUCACAUGAGGAAGAUACUUAGCUUUCUAAGUUUAGAUUUAGCUUUCUGCUAAAUCUUAAGUACAUUGCACUUUCUAUAAUGCAUUCUUCAAGAUUUGCAUGUAAAUUAAAAAAAUAUGCAUUAUAAAGUUAAGGAGGGCUGGCUAAUGUCCAAGUUGGAAAGUUGUAAAUAUAUACAAAGGAACUCAAACAAUUUGAGGGAGGGUGGGGGCUUGCACCUGUUAGAGACCGUGUUGGGGGUUGCCCGGGUAACUCCCGGGCAGGAUUUCAAUUUUUGAGCAUGGAGUGGGACAUUUUUGCGUUGGUAGAGCUUUCAGAAAUUACUGUGCAGGGUUUCAUUUCUGUUUACAUUGAAACACCUACUUCAUGAAAUGCAUUCAGAGAUGGAAUUGUUGUUUGACCAUUGCUUACUGUGACUUGUGAGAGUCAGCCCACAGUGUGAAGUCUCUCAGCCUGCCGUCUGAUACAGCCUUUUGUAUUUCUAUUUAUUUUAGAGGAGCUCUGGUAGUCUAGUUUUCCCAGCUUUAUUUUGUAGUUUAGUCUUGAUGUUGUUUUGGUAGUUUAAGAGCUACUGCUGGGUCCUACGGCCUACAGCGGUUGGCCCAGUAGUUCAUCCAACUUUUUGUUCUGUUUCAACCACGCUCUCAUGCCACACUUCGUGCUCUUUCCUACAUUAUCAAUUGCUUAUGUCAUGUUGAUCAAAAUGUAUUGUAAUGGUCUCUAUGGAAUAGUCUCACCCCCACAACAUUUAGGUAUUAGUUCAUUGCAUAAGUCUUUACAUGCAAAAUGGUUGAACAAGUUGUCAUAAUAUGUCAAGCAUAUUUUCUAUACAUUUCUAUACACUGGCAUUAGACUAUUUUUUCUGUUCUUUUUUCUAAAUAUGUCCUGAAUUGGUCAAUUGCUACCAGGUGAAUCUUGACUUUCUCUAAAGAAGGGAAAUGUGUGAAGUGUUAGAUCACCCAACGAUCAACCAGUACUGGAAUAGCUCAAAGGUGCAUCUCCUGAACCAUGAAAUGGCAAGUAUAUAUAUAUAGCUGGAGCACAACACAAUGUUACACAAAUUUGUGGCCCAACAGACAGGAACUGCAUCCUUCAGGAGUUGUAGGAUGACUGCACUGUAAUUCCUACAGCAAUGCAUGUACAGUUUACCCUAAAGAGAUUUUCCUAUGUUCACAUUUCUAGCAAUGACAUGGUCUGUCAAAAAAUUACAGUACAAACAGUCAAAGCUCUCUUGCAAUCAAUCUCCCACAUACACUAAGGUGUAACUUACAAUUUACAAUAAGUGACUUCAAAACUUUUGCCAUAGUUUACAUCAGAACAUCCCUCCAGAGUACACUGUUAUAUUGACAACAUUACUAAGCAAUUUGACUGUCCUAUCCGUAGACAAUGACACAAGGACUUGUCAUUCUGAUGGCACUGACAUGUUCAUUGAAACAGAUAUUUACUUUUGAGUGAUGAACUAAG